CUUACAUACACGUUUUUUUUUUUUUUUCCCCGUUCAUUUUGCAAAACCUUUCGCGUGCACUACAUCAUGAUCGUGGGGGGAAUACGACGACGAGUAUGCCUUUGAUUUUAAAAUUCAGCGCAUGUAGCAUACUUGAAAGGAUUUAGAUUUUCAUUCGGCGAUACCUCUUGUCAUACCUAUAGAUAGCGUAGGUGGGUAGGUACUUGAUAAUAUAAUAUCGCACGGGUAUAUACGGCAUUACAAGAUUUAAAAUCACGUUUUAUUUUUUCACCCCGUAACUUUCAC